rnacentral:rRNA from 1 species
AUUGAACGCUGGCGGCAGGCCUAACACAUGCAAGUCGAGCGGAUGAAGGGAGCUUGCUCCUGGAUUCAGCGGCGGACGGGUGAGUAAUGCCUAGGAAUCUGCCUGGUAGUGGGGGAUAACGUCCGGAAACGGGCGCUAAUACCGCAUACGUCCUGAGGGAGAAAGUGGGGGAUCUUCGGACCUCACGCUAUCAGAUGAGCCUAGGUCGGAUUAGCUAGUUGGUGGGGUAAAGGCCUACCAAGGCGACGAUCCGUAACUGGUCUGAGAGGAUGAUCAGUCACACUGGAAGUGAGACACGGUCCAGACGCCUACGGGAGGCAGCAGUGGGGAAUAUUGGACAAUGGGCGAAAGCCUGAUCCAGCCAUGCCGCGUGUGUGAAGAAGGUCUUCGGAGUGUAAAGCACUUUAAGUUGGGAGGAAGGGCAGUAAGUUAAUACCUUGCUGUUUUGACGUUACCAACAGAAUAAGCACCGGCUAACUUCGUG